rnacentral:lncRNA from 1 species
AUGGGGUGCUCCCUGCAGAGUGUCCUAGCGCUGUGUUGGAAAGGGAGGCGGCUCUGGGAGAAGGUGGCCGGAGGGCAGCUAAGACUCCAUUGUGCCUGGCACUGGACACAGCCACAGUCACUGAGGUUUGGGAUCCCUGCACCCCAUGGGAGGCGAAUUGGUUCGGCUGCCAAGCUCCAUGGAUCUUUGAAGAAUUUGGCCCCUCACUGGCUCCAAGGCCCUGACUCUAAGACCUAGGCACUACUGGCAUGGAUCUCAAGCCAGCGAGGAUUCCCUAGUGCGCAGUGACUCAAGCUACAUUAGUGUUUGCACCUAUUUACCACUGCCGUGGUGCUGUGAUUGUGGAAGUCUUCCUUGCCCGCAGAAACAAGUAUGCUGUGCUUAGUGUUGUGAGCCAGCCUGGGCUAAACAGAGCGCUGGUGAACAGGGGAGGUCCUAGGUGAUUUGAUGACAAUUCAGGGAAUGCAAAUAAGGAGAAGAUUUUCAAUUCCUGCAGCUGUGCCAAGCAGGAGUAGUAUUUAGGAGAGCGUCCUGGGUCAACACUGGAAUGGGAAGGUAGCUGGGAGCUCCCUGUCCCCCAGCUGCUCAGUGGCUCAUGAGAUGUGGUAGGAACUCACUAUAUUCCAUCAGCCUCAUUUUAAAGGAUCCUAUGUAGUAACAAAUAAGGAGUCCUGUGGCUCUUUUAAAGAGUAACAAAUGUAUUAGUGCGUAAGUUUUAGUGGAUGAAGUGCAUUAGAACUCACCAAAGCUUAUGCUCUAAUAAAUUGGUUAGUCUUCAUAAGGCCCACAGGACUCCUUAUUUGUUUUGCUGAAUUAGACUAACACGGCUACCCUGCUGUAUGUAGUAACAACACAGCACGUGUGUGUGUCUGCCCCCCCCCCCCCCCCCCGCUCCCCAGGGUUGCCAACCUUGCAUUUUAGUUUUUACCGACAUGAAGACUGGAAAUUGACUAUUUUUUUACUGACAUGGGAAUUUUUUUCUUGACGUCACUAAAAUACCAGAAGCAAUACAGUAAUGUCACACAAGUGUGUACUCAUGAUAUUCUGUACACAGGGAUUUGGAAAUAGUUUUAGCUGCAGUUAAUUGUUCAGUCGGGUUCUUUGGGCAUCUGCAAUAAUAGACACUGACACACAGUUACUGGAGGGGAG